CUCCGUUGGUAUUGCCGUUCUUACCUUCUCCAGUACUGGUGCGGGUGUUGGUGUCGGUGUUGACGGUCGACAUGGCGUUGCAGAGGAAGGAGAGCCUGACAAAGAGGAUGCAGCGUAGUCAAAGCAGAACAGGAGCAGUCCGCCGAGACGCUCCCCAAAAACUUGUUCGUUUUACCUACCCGUGUAGAUUCUCAAGCAGACAGCGUUUCGGAGGCACCUUCUCAUCCCGUGUACCUGUGUGCAUAGGUGAAUAGGACCAGGGAAGCGGUGGCUAGCGCAGGAAUAGAGGCACAAAGAGUUUCCGAGGAAGAGUAAGCGAGAGAAAGG
rnacentral:lncRNA from 1 species